rnacentral:lncRNA from 1 species
UCUUAUUCCUGAGUUAUACUAAGGAGGAAUAUGAAGGGAAUGUGAGAGAUGUUGAAGGAAAAUCGUGUUCCCAAGUUUAAUUGAUGGAAGGAAAGUGAGGGGAAGGAAAAAAAUUUGGAGUCAUAUUUUCCUCCCAAAUCGGGCGGAUUUGGAAAGAAAGUGAGGGGAAGGAAAAGAUUUUGGAGCCAUAUAAUUGUGAUCUUUUAGGGUUUUUUUUUUCUUUUCUUUUUCUCUUAACUUAGGAACACAGAAACUUAAAAAUUUUCUUUCAUUUCCAUCGAACCCGGGAACACGAUUAAGAAAUUUUUUUCUUCCUUUCCUUUUCUUUCUGUCAAUAUUUUCCUUACAUUUCCUUUACUGAACUAGAAGGAAUGCCCUCGCUUCGCUACGGGUUGGGGAAAAUUGCAAAACAUGUUUAUAUUUGGCAUUUAGUUCAUCGUUGUAAUUGAUUGUUAAGUCACUUGGGGGGCAAACAUUGAAACCAUGAAACAUAUGUUAUUCUUCUACCCAUAUCCAAACUAAUAUAAGCAAAAGAAAAACAACUAAAUGUCUACUGAUCCGUCAUUGUAACCCGCAAAAAACAACAUAUUUCACAUAAAAUUCAACAGAAUCAUCAAAAUAUAAAUGUUUGUUAUUGUACAAAUAAAGGUGAGAUACAUUCAAAAUAAGUAAACCAACAGGGGAGGCAAUAAGCAUCGACUUGAAACACAUAAUGAGAAAAACAAUAUGUGGAUCUAUGGUGACAUAUCAUUCACCUUAACAUGAAUUCCCAAUAAAAGAACCUCUAAUUGGUUCAUCAAAAUAUAACUCGGGUUUUGAGGUUUUUCUGGUGAUUGACCAUUUUGCCCUUGGAGAUUUGAGUUUUUUUGUAUGUUGGAAUUUCCUUCACCCUGCAUUUAACCUCGAGAAAUAUUAAUCUUGUUUUUUGGUAACACAACACAUACAUAUCAUUUGUGAUUAAAAGAGAAAUAUUUCCAAGAAAAAACAUUUUAUAUAUAUAUAUAUAUUAAAAUAGGGUGGAGUUAUCUACAAUAAUUUUCUUAACCACACAAAUCUUCCACCUCUUAGUAGAUGUUUGUUUAAAAUAAGUAGAAAUAGACAAAAAAAUAUUCAAGGCAUUUUCUUCAAUCAUACACACAUAACCAUAUACAUAAAACAGCACACACGUUGUAUGAUGUGUGUGGUUGUGCUUAAGUGGUUGUGUGUGGCGAAGUGUCUGGCCUUAAAACCACGAUUGGAGUAUAUUUUCAAAGUACAAUGCUAUAAUUACAAAUAAAGUACGAUGCUUUAAUGAGAUUACCUUUUCAAAGUACUCUACUCUUGAUAGGUAACCUCCUUAAGAUAAUUAUCCACCAGAAAAAAAGCCAUAUUGCUGCAAAAGACAAAAAAAAAGUUAGAAUGUUGAGUCAAAGUGCUAGGCUUUACGUAAGAAACAAUGAAAUCUAAAAACAUUUUUUUUUUUUUUAAUUUGAGUUUCAUUCACACCACUUACAUGCUAUUCAUCUGAAAAUGUAUAAGCAAUUAAAAAUCUAAAAACUUAAUUUUGUACCUUUUCAACAUUUUCUCUUCACCCCUUACAAUAGUAUAACAUUUUCCUUGCCAAUAACUUCAAAAACAGUUUAUGUCCAUGUAAUGUAUUUUUGGAUUGAGUCCAUUAAAAACUUUUUUGCAAAUUUGGUCCUGAUUUCAACUUUUUUAAUGUUUUUGGUCCAUCUCACUCCCACCCAAUGUUUUAAAAACCGGUUUUUUAGUUGAACCGGUAUGGUAACCGGUCCCCGGUUCAACCGGUUCGACCGCCGGGUUAUAUUUUUCAUGUUUUUUUCUAUUUACCUACACUUACAUACAUAUAGAAAUUAUGAAUUUGAUGUUUACAAGUUCAAACAUUAAAAAUACACAUAAAAAUAAGUUGUAGAUGAAUCCAAAUACAUUAAAUAAUACAUAACCAUAAGUUUUAGUGUUUUUACAUCAAUCUAUAUACGUCAAAAAGAAAAUAAAAUAUAAUAUCGAAACGAAAUAUAGUUUUUGAUGAAUACAAACACAUCAAAAUUUUUUAUAACAUUUACCAUAUGUUUUUAUUUAGAGAAAACUAAAUUGAUUUGAAAAAAAUCAUCAAAGUUUAUUAUGUAAAUUGUUCUUUUUCAUGUGUUUUUAUUCGGUUUAACCGGUUCAACCAGUUUAUUUUGACUGGUCCAACUGGUUUUUUCUAAAAACCGGCCGGUUCAAUCCGGUUCAGAAAUCAAUGUAAAACCGGUGAUAGUUGAACCGCUCCCUCUCCCAGUUCCCGGUCCAACCGGUUCGACCGGCCGGUUCAAACUGGUUUUUAAAACAUUGCUCCCACCAUUAACAAAACAAUAUUAAAUCCACUUAAAAUGACCAUCUUACCCCUAUAUAUAACUCUUGCACCUUGAAGCCUCCAAAGGUGACAAAGUGAAAGUCCAUUCAACCGGUAAUUGAAGACACCAUAGCAAUGCCAAUUUUAUCCUCCUUACCACACUGCACCUACAUACAGCUUCAUUUCCAUUCGUGAUAUAAAAUGAGUUCAUUUCCAUUUGUUGGUAAUAAAAAGGGUAUUUUUAUUUAAUUAUACUUCAAAUCCAUAAAGUAAAAAACAAAAAAGAAUAAAAAAAUAACAGGCAUUUGCAAAGCUUGUAGACCAUGUAAUUCUUCAAAUUUUAACCCUCCAAAUUAAUAAGAAAACGAUAAAGAUUGGAUUACUUACCAAAAGGUUAAUGAUUAUCUAGUGUUUUUGCUCAUCAAAUCUUAUAUUUCGGAUACAAUGGGAAAAUUGUAAAAUAUGUAGACAUAUAUGACCUUGGAAUUGAAAAAGUAGAAGCCAAAGUUCUUAUGUAUGAAAAAAAUCAAAAAGGAAGAGAAAAAAAAUGAUUAAGGUAAAAAAAAAAAAAUUAAACAUAUAUUCAUUGUGAAUACAACAUGCAUGAUACUUUUCUUCAUUUUUUUAUAUUUAGAUUGAAAAUGACAUGAAAAUUCAUCACUUUGUCAGGCAAAAUAUACCGGUAAAUUUUACAAUUUAAGUCAAAAUUGAGUUGAAAUAUCACCUAUUUGUCCAUAAAAGUCAGAAUUUGCCUUUUGUGUCCAUUCCGUUAGUAAAAAAAGUAACAUAUAACAUUGAAGUUUGCAGACCAGGUACCUUAACUUAGUUGCUGUCAAACAACAGAGCCAAAUAGUACCAACAAUUGAAAAUUUAUCAAAAAUAAAUGCAAGUCGGUUAAAUAGACCAUAAAUAAGAACAAAAAAAAAUGAUAAACCAGAUCAAAUACCGAUAAAAAAAGCCCAUAGCUUUACCGAAAGCACACAAUAGCUUGAUUCAUGCACCUAAAUUAAAUUCAUCUUUCCCAGAUCGUGAAAAUUGAUGAUUCUGUUCAGCAGAAAACCAAAACAUCAUAAAAAUUUUCUAAGAAAACAUUUGUUUUCCAUGAGAGGUUAAUGUAUUUCAUCACCAAAAAGUUGACAAUUUCACAAUACUUUACAAACAAACGUAUAUAGAUAAUUCCAAGAACAAUUCUUAAACAAAAUUUAAACAAAUCGAACCUGGAAUUUUGGAAGUCGGAUUCAUGAUCCGACGAAUCUGAAUCUCCUCUUAAGAAUAGAAGAUAAAGGAAAAUCGGAAGCAAAGAGAUUUGGGAGAAAUCGAUUAUUUGUACAGAGUAUAGAUAGACAAAGAGAGCAGUGAGAGUACCCCAUUGAUUGCGGUGUUGAUGAUGACAGAGUUUUGGCUUUGAAGAGGUGUCGCUUCUAUUAACAGAGGAAGACAGAUAGGGAGCACCACCAUCACCAGCGCCGAUGUGCGUUGCUGUUUUUUCCUGCUUCCCUUUCGACCUCGUCCAGUCUAUCUAUCUUGGGCGUUAUUUUCUAGUCAUUCAAAACACACACAAUCUUGAACAACAAAAUUACACAUACCCAAAUCAGAUUUAAGGCGAAAGCUCCAAACCUAGAGAAACAUCAGGGCGAAUGGAUUGCGAUGCACAUUAAGAAGCAGAGAAAGUUCGACAAUCAGCGUACCAUAUGGAGCCGGGGUGGGAAAGCGGACAGCGGGCACUUACAGCUGCGGGACCGUUAUGGUUUUCUUCCUUGUCGGGUCUAGAUAAUUCAAAUCGGAGCAAUUGGAUGUCAAAUUUGGGCCUAGACGACAUCACCAACUGUAAUCGAGGAUUUGGAGAAGAUGGAGAUGAAGCGGAGGGUACAAUCGGCAGUGAGGUGGUUUUAAGUCUGAGUCAUUGGGUUAAGAGGCGGUGAAGGAAACGUUGGAACUGAGUAGUUGCCGCGGAUGACAGGUGUCAACAUACGUGUGAAAGAACACGUGUCCACAAACAUAUAUACAAUGUGACAAAAAACGACCUACUGCAAAGAGCAACCCAAAUGAGAUAGAACUGAACCCACAUCAAUAAAUAAGGGACCAAGUAGGCCAAAUGCCUAUGAAUUUUACUGUAGCUAAGAGCACAUAAUUUUAAUAUAUAUGGUAUAAUUUACGAAAAAAACUUAGGAACAAAUUAGAAAUUACAAAUCGAUAGGUUGAGAGUUCCCCUUAUAUUUCACUUAAGAAAAAUGGGGUCAUCGUCAUGUUAUAAUAUCUUAAGAAAUUAAAUUCAUACGACAACCUUAAUUUAACAAAAUACAAUGAAUUUGAAAAAUGUCACCAUUUAGCAAUGUAAGAUCAAAUAAUGUUAAUUAAGGCAUUGAACAUUCAAUUUUGUUAACAUUUCUCUUUUAUG